rnacentral:rRNA from 1 species
AGUGAACGCUGGCGGUAGGCCUAACGCAUGCAAGUCGAACGGCAGCACAGUAAGAGCUUGCUCUUACGGGUGGCGAGUGGCGGACGGGUGAGGAAUACAUCGGAAUCUACUUUUUCGUGGGGGAUAACGUAGGGAAACUUACGCUAAUACCGCAUACGACCUACGGGUGAAAGCAGGGGAUCUUCGGACCUUGCGCGAUUGAAUGAGCCGAUGUCGGAUUAGCUAGUUGGCGGGGUAAAGGCCCGCCAAGGCGACGAUCCGUAGCUGGUCUGAGAGGAUGAUCAGCCACACUGGAACUGAGACACGGUCCAGACUCCUACGGGAGGCAGCAGUGGGGAAUAUUGGACAAUGGGCGCAAGCCUGAUCCAGCCAUACCGCGUGGGUGAAGAAGGCCUUCGGGUUGUAAAGCCCUUUUGUUGGGAAAGAAAAGCAGCAGGUUAAUACCCCGCUGUUCUGACGGUACCCAAAGAAUAAGCACCGGCUAACUUCGUG